AUUGAACGCUGGCGGCAGGCCUAACACAUGCAAGUCGAGCGGUAGCACAGGGAGCUUGCUCCUGGGUGACGAGCGGCGGACGGGUGAGUAAUGUCUGGGAAACUGCCUGAUGGAGGGGGAUAACUACUGGAAACGGUAGCUAAUACCGCAUAACGUCGCAAGACCAAAGAGGGGGACCUUCGGGCCUCUUGCCAUCAGAUGUGCCCAGAUGGGAUUAGCUAGUAGGUGGGGUAACGGCUCACCUAGGCGACGAGCCCUAGCUGGUCUGGGAGGAGGUCCAGACACACUGGAACUGAGCCACGGUCCAGACUCCUACGGGAGGCAGCAGUGGGGAAUAUCGCACAAUGGGCGCAAGCCUUAUGCAGCCAUGCCGCGUGUAUGAAGAAGGCCUUCGGGUUGUAAAGUACUUUCAGCGGGGAGGAAGGCGAUAAGGUUAAUAACCUUGUCGAUUGACGUUACCCGCAGAAGAAGCACCGGCUAACUCCGUGCCAGCCGCCGCUGUAA
rnacentral:rRNA from 1 species